CUGGGACAGUGUAACAGAAAACUGGGACGACGACAGUCUCAAGAACUGGGACAAGGACUUUGCGGAGGACAGACCCUCAGUUCCUUCAACACGCUCAGCUGCGGAUUGAUCAUGAGGCUGGCGACUUCGACGGUGGAUGUUCCAAGUACCUGUAAUCAGGCACGCCAUGCUGAAUGAGUGUUUCCCAAAUGACUCUGCUGUUACCGAUUUCAACUGAAGGGCUGUGGGUCCUCGUCUCAUUACAAGUAACAACGCCAUUCAGGAAGACGUUACCACGCAUCAAAAUAUAAAGAAAUAUAUUUUCUGUUCAGUUACAUAUGAGCCUGUGUAUGAAUAAUCCAACACAUAAAUCUCAUUUUCAUGUUUGUAACUAUUAUAACAGUCUGCGUAAAGAUGAUGUAAAACAUUAAAACAGAC